rnacentral:rRNA from 1 species
CCUACGGGAGGCAGCAGUGAGGAAUAUUGGUCAAUGGACGAGAGUCUGAACCAGCCACGUAGCGUGAAGGAUGACUGCCCUAUGGGUUGUAAACUUCUUUUAUAUGGGAAUAAAAUGUUCCACGUGUGGGAUUUUGUAUGUACCAUAUGAAUAAGGAACGGCCAACUAAGUGCCAGCAGCCGCGGUAAUACGGAGGAUUCGAGCGUUAUCCGGAUUUAUUGGGGUUAACGGGAGCGUAGGUGGUUUGUGAAGUCAGUUGUGAAAGUUUGCGGCUCAACCGUAAAAUUGCAGUUGAAACUGGCAGUCGUGAGUGCAGGAGAGGUGGGCGGAAUUCGUGGUGUAGCGGUGAAAUGCUUAGAUAUCACGAAGAACACCGAUGGCGAAGGCAGCUCACUGGACUGCAACUGACGCUGAGGCGCGAAAGUGUGGGUAGCAAACAGGAUUAGAUACCCGAGUAGUC